AAGCUACGCCCCCUUCCUCACCGCCGGGUUGAGACCCAGUGGUCUCUGCGCACGCGCAGCGGCUCUGGGCGCCGGCCCUCCCUUCGACCCUGCCCGCUCUAAGGUGCUGGGCGCGCACCCUCCACCCCACCCGCUUCCUGGCCGAGGCCUUGUCGGGAAGACCGCCUGGACAGUGUUCCUCCUUCAGCCCGCAACCUGACCUUUUCCCUCCGGAUAGAGGCUGGCCCAUGCGCGCUCAGAUCCUGGCCAGUACCCCACCCACCCCUCCAGACAACACCUUCUUCACCCUGGACUGGGACUGUCCAUUCAGCUCACCUCGGUGUCCCCUCACGGCCUGGCGCAGGAGAAGAAAUUAGGAGAACUCCACUGCCUUUCCUUUGAACUCAUCUAGGCCUCUUUUGAGGCCUUGCCUCAAUUCCUACUCAUCUCCCACAUUGUCCCAAGUAUUCUUGCCUGGAGAAUCCCAGGAACGGAGGAACCUGGUGGGCUGCUGUCUAUGGGGUCUCACAGAGUCGUAUACGACUGAAGCAACUUAGCAGCAGCAGCAGCAGCCAAUGCCCUCCAAGUCCAUCCAUGUUGCUGCAGAUAGCAAAAUUUCACUCUUUCAUGACUGAAUAGAUUCCCAUUCUGUGUGUAUGUAUGACACCUUCUUCCAUUCAUCUGUCGAUGAACUCUUAGGUCGCUUCCGUAUCUUGGCAAUUGUAAAUAAAAUUGCUACGAACAUUGA